UACGAAGGGGGCUAGCGUUGCUCGGAAUGACUGGGCGUAAAGGGCGCGUAGGCGGCGCAUUUAGUCAGGCGUGAAAUUCCUGGGCUCAACCUGGGGACUGCGCUUGAUACGGGUGUGCUUGAGGAUGGAAGAGGCUCGCGGAAUUCCCAGUGUAGAGGUGAAAUUCGUAGAUAUUGGGAAGAACACCGGUGGCGAAGGCGGCGAGCUGGUCCAUUACCUGGACGCUGAGGCGCGACAGCGUGGGGAGCAACAGG
rnacentral:rRNA from 1 species